AUGCAAAACAUAGGAAGGCUUAUUUUUAACACAUACCACUUGAUCACCUUGCCCUUGUUGCAAAAGUGCUCAAACUCUAGUUCUCAUUCCAACCUGAUCCCAGUCACAUCAGCCAGGAGUAAAUCUUCAUGCUCAGAAAAAAAUCCCUGCUAUUGUAUUUUCCAAACCCCUUACCUCCUUCCCGAUGCUAGCAGAUGCGGAUCUCACAAGUGCUUUUCUCAGAGCCUUUCCUUCCUGCCUCCACGCGUUUCCCUUCCACUUCUGCAAGCAUCUGCAGCUGGGAAGAUGCAAACAGUGGCAAAUUUAAAGGCUUUGUCAGAGAUUUCCCCCAGAUGGCAAUCAGCUGAGAAAGCUCCCUCAUGUGAAGAGCUCUUUAUUAGCCUGUUGCACCUGGGUAUCGAGCACCAGAAGAAGCAGGACUGUUAUGCAGAUCUGGCAGCCUUCAGGUCAUUGGCCUCUUGUCUCUACCCAGAUUUACACCCAUGGCAGUGCCAGCAUCAGCAACCUCCACGCCGGAGCUGUGCUAAGGACCCGGACCACAGUGCCAGAAAUAACUUUGUGUCCCCACCAAAACCACGGUGCUGGAGCUACACUGCCACAUGGACAGAGCAGCCACCAGCAGAGGGAGCGGCAAACUCGGCACAGAGAUCCCCAAAAAGAAUAACACCGGGGAUUUGGGGAGUGCUGUUGCUGGGUAUAAGAAAAUGGCCCAGGGAAGGCUGGAGACUCUUUUGUCCAGUACAUGCUAGCAAGUGGUGACGCUGUUACUCUGUCCUGAUAGCAAAAGAGAGCCAAAGAGAUAGGUGUCAGUAUUGCUCCUGUGGAUAUGAAGCUUUAGAAAUGCACACGUAGCCCUGCUGUGUGGCAGGGUCCCCAGGGGGCUGCAAGGAGUGCACACAGCAGAUCUAGGGGCUCCGGGAGCUUCCCAUAUCCCACCGUCCCCCCAUCUCUGAGCCAUCGACUGAAAAGUGUGAGGGACAGGAGCAAAGUGGCAAUGAGGAACCACUCUGCCUUUUAUCCAGUGCUUUCCAAGUGUUUUUCUUCCCAGCAAAACCAAAGGGAACCAGUUCCACCAGUGCCAGCUUUCCCAGCUCACCGCCUCUUCCCAAAGGCACUGGGACCUGAGGCCAGCUGCCCAUCCAUCCCCUUGCACUCAGCACAUUUACAAGGGGAAGGGACGUGAGCUGCUGUAGGCGCUCACAAGGAGCUGAUCCAUCCGGCCACCAGUUGGAAAAGCCUCAGGGUGUCCUUCAUUUACACCGCUUCUUGGGUCUGGGACAGUUGGAGCACAUCGGUGCGGCCGCGCAGCUCCCGCUGGUGCUGCAGAGGGAGCGGGGAGGUUGUGCUGAGCCAGCUCUGCUAAAUUUACCCCACCCUGGGACUCUGACGUGAAGUGGGCACAGCAGGUUUGGGCAGACGUGCUGGGCUUGGGAGCUGCUGUGAGGUUUUUCUGAGAUCCUGGCAAUGCCCCAAAGCAGCUGACUCACUCCUUCUCUCAGGUCAGGGCUUCGCAGCUGUAACUCCGGUGAGACCAGGGGGUUAUUUCUGAUGCACAGUGCUGUACAAUCAGCGUCCACUCCAUUACCCUUGCUGGUGAAGGAUGGCUCCUGUCUCCAGCGAGCUUUCUUUAGCUUUUACUCCAAAGUCGUUCAGUAAUAGGGGAGCUGAUGUAAAAAGACUACAGCGUUUUCUUUUUGCUGGAGAUUCCCCAUCUUGAGUUAUUUGGUGACUUUGAGCCUGCUGUAAUCAAUGAGCUUGU
rnacentral:lncRNA from 1 species